AGCGGCGGACGGGUGAGUAACACGGUGGGUAACCUACCUAUAAGACUGGGAUAACUUCGGGAAACCGGAGCUAAUACCGGAUAAUAUUUCGAACCGCAUGGUUCGAUAGUGAAAGGUGGUUUUGCUAUCACUUAUAGAUGGACCCGCGCCGUAUUAGCUAGUUGGUAAGGUAACGGCUUACCAAGGCGACGAUACGUAGCCGACCUGAGAGGGUGAUCGGCCACACUGGAACUGAGACACGGUCCAGACUCCUACGGGAGGCAGCAGAA
rnacentral:rRNA from 1 species